rnacentral:hammerhead_ribozyme from 1 species
AUCCAGUGACGAGUUCCAAAUAGGACGAAAUGCGCAUCCUGGAU